GGGUUGUGAGGUUAAGCGACUAAGCGUACACGGUGGAUGCCCUGGCAGUCAGAGGCGAUGAAGGACGUGCUAAUCUGCGAAAAGCGUCGGUAAGGUGAUAUGAACCGUUAUAGCCGGCGAUGUCCGAAUGGGGAAACCCAGUGCAAUUCGUUGCACUAUCGUUAACUGAAUACAUAGGUUAACGAGGCGAACCGGGGGAACUGAAACAUCUAAGUACCCCGAGGAAAAGAAAUCAACCGAGAUUCCCCCAGUAGCGGCGAGCGAACGGGGAGCAGCCCAGAGUCUGAAUCAGCUUGUGUGUUAGUGGAACGGUCUGGAAAGUCCGACGGUACAGGGUGAUAGUCCCGUACACCAAAAUGCACAGGUUGUGAACUCGAAGAGUAGGGCGGGACACGUGGUAUCCUGUCUGAAUAUGGGGGGACCAUCCUCCAAGGCUAAAUACUCCUGACUGACCGAUAGUGAACCAGUACCGUGAGGGAAAGGCGAAAAGAACCCCGGCGAGGGGAGUGAAAAAGAACCUGAAACCGUGUACGUACAAGCAGUGGGAGCACCUUCGGGUGUGACUGCGUACCUUUUGUAUAAUGGGUCAGCGACUUAUAUUCUGUAGCAAGGUUAACCGUAUAGGGGAGCCGCAGGGAAACCGAGUCUUAACUGGGCGUUAAGUUGCAGGGUAUAGACCCGAAACCCGGUGAUCUAGCCAUGGGCAGGUUGAAGGUUGGGUAACACUAACUGGAGGACCGAACCGACUAAUGUUGAAAAAUUAGCGGAUGACUUGUGGCUGGGGGUGAAAGGCCAAUCAAACCGGGAGAUAGCUGGUUCUCCCCGAAAGCUAUUUAGGUAGCGCCUCGUGAACUCAUCUUCGGGGGUAGAGCACUGUUUCGGCUAGGGGGUCAUCCCGACUUACCAACCCGAUGCAAACUACGAAUACCGAAGAAUGUUAUCACGGGAGACACACGGCGGGUGCUAACGUCCGUCGUGAAGAGGGAAACAACCCAGACCGCCAGCUAAGGUCCCAAAGUCAUGGUUAAGUGGGAAACGAUGUGGGAAGGCACAGACAGCCAGGAUGUUGGCUUAGAAGCAGCCAUCAUUUAAAGAAAGCGUAAUAGCUCACUGGUCGAGUCGGCCUGCGCGGAAGAUGUAACGGGGCUAAACCAUGCACCGAAGCUGCGGCAGCGACACUAUGUGUUGUUGGGUAGGGGAGCGUUCUGUAAGCCUGCGAAGGUGACCUGUGAGGGUUGCUGGAGGUAUCAGAAGUGCGAAUGCUGACAUAAGUAACGAUAAAGCGGGUGAAAAGCCCGCUCGCCGGAAGACCAAGGGUUCCUGUCCAACGUUAAUCGGGGCAGGGUGAGUCGACCCCUAAGGCGAGGCCGAAAGGCGUAGUCGAUGGGAAACAGGUUAAUAUUCCUGUACUUGGUGUUACUGCGAAGGGGGGACGGAGAAGGCUAUGUUAGCCGGGCGACGGUUGUCCCGGUUUAAGCAUGUAGGCUGGUUGUCCAGGCAAAUCCGGAUAAUCAAGGCUGAGGUGUGAUGACGAGGCACUACGGUGCUGAAGUAACAAAUGCCCUGCUUCCAGGAAAAGCCUCUAAGCAUCAGGUAACAUCAAAUCGUACCCCAAACCGACACAGGUGGUCAGGUAGAGAAUACCAAGGCGCUUGAGAGAACUCGGGUGAAGGAACUAGGCAAAAUGGUGCCGUAACUUCGGGAGAAGGCACGCUGGUGUGUAGGUGAAGUCCCUGCGGAUGGAGCUGAGACCAGUCGAAGAUACCAGCUGGCUGCAACUGUUUAUUAAAAACACAGCACUGUGCAAACACGAAAGUGGACGUAUACGGUGUGACGCCUGCCCGGUGCCGGAAGGUUAAUUGAUGGGGUUAUCCGUAAGGAGAAGCUCUUGAUCGAAGCCCCGGUAAACGGCGGCCGUAACUAUAACGGUCCUAAGGUAGCGAAAUUCCUUGUCGGGUAAGUUCCGACCUGCACGAAUGGCGUAAUGAUGGCCAGGCUGUCUCCACCCGAGACUCAGUGAAAUUGAACUCGCUGUGAAGAUGCAGUGUACCCGCGGCAAGACGGAAAGACCCCGUGAACCUUUACUAUAGCUUGACACUGAACAUUGAGCCUUGAUGUGUAGGAUAGGUGGGAGGCUUUGAAGCGUGGACGCCAGUCUGCGUGGAGCCAACCUUGAAAUACCACCCUUUAAUGUUUGAUGUUCUAACGUUGGCCCCUUAUCGGGGUUGCGGACAGUGUCUGGUGGGUAGUUUGACUGGGGCGGUCUCCUCCCAAAGCGUAACGGAGGAGCACGAAGGUUAGCUAAUCCUGGUCGGACAUCAGGAGGUUAGUGCAAUGGCAUAAGCUAGCUUGACUGCGAGCGUGACGGCGCGAGCAGGUGCGAAAGCAGGUCAUAGUGAUCCGGUGGUUCUGAAUGGAAGGGCCAUCGCUCAACGGAUAAAAGGUACUCCGGGGAUAACAGGCUGAUACCGCCCAAGAGUUCAUAUCGACGGCGGUGUUUGGCACCUCGAUGUCGGCUCAUCACAUCCUGGGGCUGAAGUAGGUCCCAAGGGUAUGGCUGUUCGCCAUUUAAAGUGGUACGCGAGCUGGGUUUAGAACGUCGUGAGACAGUUCGGUCCCUAUCUGCCGUGGGCGCUGGAGAAUUGAGGGGGGCUGCUCCUAGUACGAGAGGACCGGAGUGGACGCAUCACUGGUGUUCGGGUUGUCAUGCCAAUGGCACUGCCCGGUAGCUAAAUGCGGAAGAGAUAAGUGCUGAAAGCAUCUAAGCACGAAACUUGCCCCGAGAUGAGUUCUCCCUGAGACUAUAAGUCUCCUGAAGGAACGUUAAAGACGAUGACGUUGAUAGGCCGGGUGUGUAAGCGCAGCGAUGCGUUGAGCUAACCGGUACUAAUGAACCGUGAGGCUUAACCUUACAACGCCGAAG
rnacentral:rRNA from 1 species